AUUUUGAAAUAAAAAUAAACUUUAGCGAAUAAAAUCAAUUUAAAAGAAGAUUUAAACAAGCAAUCCAAAAAACCAAAAUAAAAAGGAAUUGAAAGAAUUUCAAAUAUAAAUAAGAUAUUUUCAAAUAAAAUAACGUAAAAUCGAGAAUUUAAACGGAAAGAUCGAAAACACAAAGUAAAGCUGAAAAUGGAAGGAAAUAAAAUACAAGAAAAUUCUAAGGAAGAAGUCGGCAAUUUCGAAAAUCAAAAAGACAAUGUUGGUUGCUAUUGAAAAUUUUGGAACAAAGGAACAACAAAAUGGGCCACAAUAGGAUUUGGAAAUUCCUUUUUAUUGAGGACGAUCAAAAUCUUUUAGCUGUUCGCUCCAAGUUAUAUGCAAUAUCCGUAGUAAUGGGGUAUAAU